GUGGAUUAGAUACCCUGGUAGUCCACGCCGUAAACGAUGGGUACUAGGCGUCGGGGGGAGCGACCCUCUCGGUGCCGUCGCUAACGCAGUAAGUACCCCGCCUGGGGAGUACGGUCGCAAGACUGAAACUCAAAGGAAUUGACGGGGGCCCGCACAAGCGGUGGAGCAUGUGGUUUAAUUCGAAGCAACGCGAAGAACCUUACCUGGGCUUGACAUGCACGGGAAAUCCGGUGGAAACAUCGGCCCCUCUUCGGAGUCCGUGUACAGGUGCUGCACGGCCGUCGACAGCU
rnacentral:rRNA from 1 species